rnacentral:sRNA from 1 species
UCCAGGCGUGGUGGUGCACACCUGUAAUUCCAGCAACUCAGGAGGCUGAGGCAGGAGGAUCACUAGUUUGAGGCCAGCCUCAGCAAUUUAGCGAGACCCUUUCUGUC